rnacentral:rRNA from 1 species
UGGGGAAUAUUGGACAAUGGGCGAAAGCCUGAUCCAGCCAUGCCGCGUGAGUGAUGAGGACCUUAGGGUUGUAAAGCUCUUUCAGUGGGGAAGAUAAUGACGGUACCCACAGAAGAAGCCCCGGCUAACUUCGUGCCAGCAGCCGCGGUAAUACGAAGGGGGCUAGCGUUGUUCGGAUUUACUGGGCGUAAAGCGCACGUAGGCGGAUUGUUAAGUCAGGGGUGAAAUCCUGGAGCUCAACUCCAGAACUGCCUUUGAUACUGGCAAUCUUGAGUCCGGAAGAGGUGAGUGGAACUCCUAGUGUAGAGGUGGAAUUCGUAGAUAUUCGCAAGAACACCAGUGGCGAAGGCGGCUCACUGGCCCGAUACUGACGCUGAGGUACGAAAGCGUGGGGAGCAAACA